rnacentral:rRNA from 1 species
CUUGGUCAUUUAGAGGAAGUAAAAGUCGUAACAAGGUCUCCGUAGGUGAACCUGCGGAGGGAUCAUUACAAGUGACCCCGGUCUUACCACCGGGAUGUUCAUAACCCUUUGUUGUCCGACUCUGUUGCCUCCGGGGCGACCCUGCUUUCGGGCGGGGGCUCCGGGUGGACACUUCAAACUCUUGCGUAACUUUGCAGUCUGAGUAAACUUAAUUAAUAAAUUAAAACUUUUAACAACGGAUCUCUUGGUUCUGGCAUCGAUGAAGAACGCAGCGAAAUGCGAUAAGUAAUGUGAAUUGCAGAAUUCAGUGAAUCAUCGAAUCUUUGAACGCACAUUGCGCCCCCUGGUAUUCCGGGGGGCAUGCCUGUUCGAGCGUCAUUUCACCACUCAAGCCUCGCUUGGUAUUGGGCAACGCGGUCCGCCGCGUGCCUCAAAUCGACCGGCUGGGUCUUCUGUCCCCUAAGCGUUGUGGAAACUAUUCGCUAAAGGGUGUUCGGGAGGCUACGCCGUAAAACAACCCCAUUUCUAAGGUUGACCUCGGAUCAGGUAGGGAUACCCGCUGAACUUAAGCAUAUCAAUAAGCGGAGGA